GUCCACGCCGUAAACGAUGAGAACUAGUUAUUGGGGGUAUUGACUCCCUCAGUGACGCAGCUAACGCAUUAAGUUCUCCGCCUGGGGAGUACGGUCGCAAGACUAAAACUCAAACAAAUUGACGGGGGCCCGCACAAGCGGUGGAUUAUGUGGUUUAAUUCGAAGCAACGCGCAGAACCUUUACCUAGGCUUGAACUCCUACGAACCUCUUGUAAUGGAGAGGGUGUCCGCAAGGAAAUGUAGUGAGAGGUGCUGCAUGGCUGUCGU
rnacentral:rRNA from 1 species